rnacentral:rRNA from 1 species
GAUGAACGCUAGCGGCAGGCUUAAUACAUGCAAGUCGAGGGGCAGCAUGAUUGUAGCAAUACAAUUGAUGGCGACCGGCAAACGGGUGCGGAACACUUACACAACCUUCCAACAAGUAGGGGAUAGCGCAGAGAAAUUGGGAUUAAUACCCGGUAACAUAGCGAUGGGGCAUCACAUUGCUAUUAUAGAUUUUUCGCUUGUUGAUGGGUGUGAGGCUGAUUAGAUAGUUUGCGGGCGAACGGCCCAACAAGCCUACGUUCAGUAGCUGAUGUGAGAGCAUCAUCAGCCACACGGGCACUGAGACACGGUCCAGACUCCUACGGGAGGCAGCAGUGGGGAAUUUUGGGCAAUGGGCGCAAGCCUGAUCCAGCAAUGCCGCGUGCAGGAUGAAGGCCUUCGGGUGGUAAACUGCUUUUGUACGGAACGAAACGGUUCUCUCUAAUACGGGGGGCUAAUGACGGUACCGUAAGAAUAAGCACCGGCUAACUACGUGCCAGCCGCCGCCGUAACAC